rnacentral:rRNA from 1 species
GUGAGGUAACGGCCCACCAAGGCGACGACGGGUAGCUGGUCUGAGAGGACGAUCAGCCACACUGGGACUGAGACACGGCCCAGACUCCUACGGGAGGCAGCAGUGGGGAAUAUUGCGCAAUGGGCGAAAGCCUGACGCAGCAACGCCGCGUGAGGGAUGAAGGCCUUCGGGUUGUAAACCUCUUUCGAGCAGGGACGAUAAUGACGGUACCUGCAGAAGAAGCUCCGGCCAACUACGUGCCAGCAGCCGCGGUAAUACGUAGGGAGCGAGCGUUGUCCGGAUUCAUUGGGCGUAAAGAGCUCGUAGGCGGCUUGAUAAGUCGGAUGUGAAACCUCCAGGCUCAACCUGGAGUCGCCAUCCGAUACUGUCAUGGCUAGAGUCCGGUAGGGGCCCACGGAACUCCUGGUGUAGCGGUGAAAUGCGCAGAUAUCAGGAGGAACACCGGUGGCGAAGGCGGUGGGCUGGGCCGGUACUGACGCUGAGGAGCGAAAGCGUGGGGAGCGAACAGGAUUAGAUACCCUGGUAGUCCACGCCGUAAACGUUGGGCACUAGGUGUGGGACCUUAUCAACGGGUUCCGUGCCGUAGCUAACGCAUUAAGUG